rnacentral:tRNA from 1 species
UCCCUAGUGGCUCAGCGGUAAAGAAUCUGCCUGCAAUGCAGGAGCCUCAGGUUCGAUCCCUGGGUUGGGAA